UAGGGAAUAUUGGACAAUGGGCGCAAGCCUGAUCCAGCAAUGCCGCGUGAGUGAUGAAGGCCUUAGGGUUGUAAAGCUCUUUUACCCGGGAUGAUAAUGACAGUACCGGGAGAAUAAGCCCCGGCUAACUCCGUGCCAGCAGCCGCGGUAAUACGGAGGGGGCUAGCGUUGUUCGGAAUUACUGGGCGUAAAGCGCACGUAGGCGGCGAUUUAAGUCAGGGGUGAAAGCCCAGUGCUCAACACUGGAACUGCCCUUGAGACUGGAUUGCUUGAAUCACGGAGAGGUGGGUGGAAUUCCGAGUGUAGAGGUGAAAUUCGUAGAUAUUCGGAAGAACACCAGUGGCGAAGGCGGCCCACUGGACGUGUAUUGACGCUGAGGUGCGAAAGCGUGGGGAGCAAA
rnacentral:rRNA from 1 species